GUCAGUGUGCUCUCACAAGCUGGAAUCAAAGCCUCUUAACAUGGCAGAUGAUUUGGACUUUGAGACAGGAGAUGCAGGAGCCUCAGUCACCAUCCCAAUACAGUGCUCAGCAUCACUCACAAUGACUUUUGUGGUGCUCAAAGGCGGGCCAUGUAAGAUCAUCAAGAUUUCUACUUUGAAUACUGGCAGGCAUGGCCAUGGCAAGGUCCAAAUAGUUGGUAUUGCCAUUUUUACCUGGAAAAAAUAUGAAAACAUCUGUCCGUCAACUCAUAAUGUGGAUGUCAUCCACAUCAAAAGGAAUGACUGACUUCCAGCUGAUUGGUAUCCAGGAUGGGUACCUAUCACUGCUCUAGGACAGUGGAAAGGUGUUAGAGGACCUUCAUUUGCCUGAAGGAGGCCUUGGCAAGGUGACUGAGCAGAAGUAUUACUGUAAAAAGAUCCUGAUCACGGUGUGGCCUGCCACAACAGAGGAGGCAACUGUUGUAAUCAAAGACAUGGCAAAACUACUGGCUCCCAGGAGUGCCUUUAACUUGGCCUAA